rnacentral:tRNA from 1 species
GCGGAGUUGGUGAAGUGGUUAACACGCCAGAUUGUGGCUCUGGUACGCAUGGGUUCGAUUCCCAUAGUCCGCCCCA